UACGGAGGGGGCCAGCGUUGUUCGGAAUUAUUGGGCGUAAAGGGCGCGUAGGCGGUUCGAUAAGUCCCGUGUGAAAGCCCCCGGCUCAACUGGGGAACUGCACGGGAAACUGACGGACUUGAGUUCGGGAGAGGGAAGCGGAAUUCCGGGUGUAGCGGUGAAAUGCGUAGAUAUCCGGAGGAACACCGGUGGCGAAGGCGGCUUCCUGGACCGACACUGACGCUGAGGCGCGAAAGCUAGGGGAGCAAACGGG
rnacentral:rRNA from 1 species